rnacentral:rRNA from 1 species
UACGAAGGUCCCGAGCGUUGUUCGGAAUCACUGGGCGUAAAGGGCGCGUAGGCGGCGCGGUAAGUCAGAUGUGAAAUCCCGGGGCUCAACCCCGGAACUGCAUCCGAUACUGCCGUGCUAGAGGAUUGGAGAGGUAGCUGGAAUUCUUGGUGUAGCAGUGAAAUGCGUGGAGAUCAAGAGGAACACUCGUGGCGAAAGCGAGCUACUGGACAAUAUCUGACGCUGAGGCUCGAAGGCCAGGGUAGCGAAAGGG